GAUGAACGCUAGCUCCAGGCUUAACACAUGCAAGUCGAGGGGAAACGGCAUCGAAAGCUUGCUUUUGAUGGGCGUCGACCGGCGCACGGGUGAGUAACGCGUAUCCAACCUGCCCAUCACUUGGGAAUAACCUUGCGAAAGUAAGACUAAUGCCCAAUGACAUCCCACGAAGGCAUCCGAAUGGGAUUAAAGAUUUAUCGGUGAUGGAUGGGGAUGCGUCUGAUUAGCUUGUUGGCGGGGUGACGGCCCACCAAGGCAACGAUCAGUAGGGGUUCUGAGAGGAAGGUCCCCCACAUUGGAACUGAGACACGGUCCAAACUCCUACGGGAGGCAGCAGUGAGGAAUAUUGGUCAAUGGGCGAGAGCCUGAACCAGCCAAGUAGCGUGCAGGAUGACGGCCCUAUGGGUUGUAAACUGCUUUUAUAAGGGAAUAAAGUGGGUCACGUGUGACUUUUUGCAUGUACCUUAUGAAUAAGGACCGGCUAAUUCCGUG
rnacentral:rRNA from 1 species